rnacentral:rRNA from 1 species
GAUGAACGCUGGCGGCGUGCCUAAUACAUGCAAGUCGAGCGAACAGACGAGGAGCUUGCUCCUCUGACGUUAGCGGCGGACGGGUGAGUAACACGUGGAUAACCUACCUAUAAGACUGGGAUAACUUCGGGAAACCGGAGCUAAUACCGGAUAAUAUAUUGAACCUCAUGGUUCAAUAGUGAAAGACGGUUUUGCUGUCACUUAUAGAUGGAUCCGCGCCGCAUUAGCUAGUUGGUAAGGUAACGGCUUACCAAGGCAACGAUGAGUAGCCGACCUGAGAGGGGGAUGGGCCACACGGGAACUGAGACACGGUCCAGACUCCUACGGGAGGCAGCAGUAGGGAAUCUUCCGCAAUGGGCGAAAGCCUGACGGAGCAACGCCGCGGGAGUGAUGAAGGUCUUCGGAUCGUAAAACUCUGUUAUUAGGGAAGAACAAAUGUGUAAGUAACUAUGCACGUCUUGACGGUACCUAAUCAGAAAGCCACGGCUAACUACGUG